ACUGCUUGACUCAGCAGGAAAGAGAUGCCAUCAGCCAGGCCUGCCAAUCACCGCCACACAGCACGCGCCUGGGCGGGACCCGCCGUGGAAAGACAAACCUGAACUAACCACCGGCUGAGCCCCACAGCCCGUGACUCUGCCCCCGUUAGGCACCGUAGCAGCCCAGCCAGCCCCAGCCCCUCUUGUAUCCACCUGGAAAGAUCAAGCCAGGCCUCUCCAGAUUGCUGGGGGCUGUGCGAGGGGCUGAGUUCCACACCAGAGGUGGCUGCAUUUCUGUGGCCAACAGGGCAAGGCACAUAUAGCUCUUGAUCUGCCUUGCUCUUAGGAGCUUGAGACACCCCUCCACACAGGAACCACUGGCAGAAGGCAGCAAAAACUCCCUUCUGCACAACAUUUUGGACUCUUUUCCCCCCAAAAAUGGAUAUUUCGGCUGAAAAAAACCCUCGCUGUCUCCCACCCCUGCUACCCCAGUGCCCCCCAGGAGCCAACGUGUGCUCCCAGCUCCUUGAUCAGACUGGGACAGCGCCUGGGAGAGUAGUGCAUUCUGGGAUGCACUGCCCCCCUACCCUAUGGAUGCGAACAGGGCUAGGGGGACAGCUGGGCUAAGCAGGAGGGUCUCAGCUUGGAGCCACAGCACAGGGCAGGAAGGGCUGGUGCCCUGCUCCCAGGCCGCAUCCUGCCCUGCUGCCAGGCGGUCCCAGGUCCCAUGACAGGGCCUGGCACCUUUAACACUGUCUCCUCCCUCAUUCCAGGGCAUUUCAAGGGCUUGAAAAGCCAGAGCGCCUCUCUGGUUCCCUGGAAAUCCCCACCUGGCACCGUGAUCUCCCAGAUAGCAUCAGGCAAGGCUGCAACCAGCUGGGAAACAGCCCUGGGGGGGCAUGCAGGUGGAGGCAGGGGGGAAAAUCCAGCACAGACAGGCCUGAAUUUCCAGCGUCAGUCCCAAGCCGGCUGCAGGGGCAGGAGCAGUCGACGGGCACUGGUACCUCUCGGUACAGGACACAGGCUUGUUGUGCAAGGUCGCAGCUGCAGAGAGAGUUGCGUUCACAGGCACCCAUGUUGCAAGCCCCAGUUCCCCCCAGACCGCACGGCAACGGGCUGGUAGAUAAGGCCUCCGCAGCCCCCUCCAGGCAGACAACAGGAAGCCGCUCGCACCCCGCUGAGCAGCCUGGCUGCCUUGUUGUUUCUCUUCUCACAAGCAGCUGCUGGGGAGGUUUGUUCAUGGGUGGGGAAGGCACAGAUCAGCAGCCGCCUCACCCCGUUACAUCCUCUUGUCUCAGGACCCUUGUGGGUGCUUGGUCCCCAAGUUGCCCCAUUAGCAGCCUGGCAGCCACAGGGGAUCCAGCUUCCAGCCUCAGCAGCCCCCACCCCACAUCAGCCACCUCCCUCCAGGAGACCCCCACCCGCCCGGACCCACAGGGACAUGAACUCGGCUCCAAUGAGACCAGCGCCAGGCACUGCGCAAACCCAUGCAACCGAGGACAGUCCCUGCCCUGGGGAAACACCCAGAUAGGGCCAGGGUUUGAUGACCCUAUAGCUAUAGGAAAGGCGAGAGGCAGGGUGAGCCCAGACCAUAACCUAGCAGAGCCCUCCCCAGGCGCUGGCAGGAGCUUGAUGCAGUAAGGAUCAGGCCCCGAAGCCACAGCCACAUCAGGUCCGUUGCUGCCCCCCAAACCCGGUGCAGCCACCAUGGAGGGGUGCUGCAGGGUGCAGUGGACCACGCUGUUCUUUGCAGCCACCAGCCGGACCCGCUCUGUCCAGCACCCCCAAGCCCUGCCGGGGACAGGCCAGACAGGCUGGGACCAUAGAUGCUGGCCCCACAAGUUCCAGUGACAUGCCCAGCACCCCCGAAGACCAGCUCAGAGACUACCUGUCUGCAAGUCCCUUCCACAUCUCCAGGUCCCCCCAAGCUGAGCUGAUCCCAUCAGGUGAUCAGCCAUGGCCAUUGGUGUCCCCCGGAGGCGGCCAUGAACCCUGGUGCACAGCGCAUUGCCUGCGCUGGGGCGAGCCGGGGAGACCCAUCCACAAGGGCCAGCAGGCUUGUGGACAGCUCCAGCACUAGGCCCAGAUCUCCAAUCCAUCCCCAGGGGGAUCCGAUGAGCCGGGCCGGCUCCCUGGCAAAGGUGGGGAGACACCCACAGACCCUCAGCCUGGGGCAGGACCCUGUGCAAAGCUCAGAGGCUGCAAGGGGUCACCCCUGCUGGGAGCAGAGAAACCGGGAAGCUGCUCCAAGGCGGAAGGUAGCCUUGGUUUUACUUCUCUAGACCUGUCCCCAAACCUCACGCCUAUUCCCCAGGUCUUCCUGUCCACACCAGGAACCCGUCUGGCUUCCCCCUUGUGGUGGCGGCUGUGGGGACCGGGGGUCUGGUAGCAGCAGGCGCUCCUGGCACAGCAGGCCUGUCUCUGCAGAGAACCCAGAGUCUGGGGGUCCCUGCUCAGCCGUGGGUCUGCUCAGGGGGCUGCAGAGGGGGAGAGAAGUCUCCCGUGAGCAAGAUGUGGUCAAAGCCACAGGGCGGUGGGGCGGGGCAUGGGGUCACCCCAUAGUGAGGCCCAGGCGGGUCACGAGUGUAGCAGGCAGGGUCAGCGCCUGGCUGCCCGAUCUCCUGGGUCCCCGGCUUGCAGUAAGGGCAAGCAGGGGGCAUGUGAUCCUGCUGGGAAGGGCUGCACAUCAGGUAUGCAACUAGCAGGCCUAGUGGUCACUGCCCAGCUGCCCAGGAUCCAGACCCAGUGAAUAGACCUGGCCCUGGGGACAGUGCCUCAGUUUUCCCAUCUGUUGCCUGGCCUCACUCUCCUCCUGACCUUUGCCUAGCAGUAGGGGGGACGACACACUUCCCUCCCCACAUGGAAAACUGCUGACUCCCCGUGGUCUAGCCCCCCCAGGCCGGGAUGCAGGACACCUGGGUUCGACUCCCUGCUGAGCCCCCGACCAGCAAUUCACAUCCCCACUCCGUGCCUCAGUUUCCCCAUCUGCCAAAUGGUCUCAAGGCAAAGUCUACUUGGGCUCUUGCCUGGUCUCAGGCUUGUGAUGUCCCCACUUGCUCAGAGGUGGGGGGGAGGGGAUGCUUUUCUGCUGCACUGGAAAACAGGAAAGGCAGCUUCCUGUGCUGCACAGGCCAGCACCGCGGCUGCAUGGGGGAUGUCGGCGGGGCCAGCCCGGCUGGGCCACCGCUUCCUGGCUCCAAGAAGCCCAGCCCUGCAGCCCCUCGGGCUCCGUGGGAGCCAGGCUCAGCCCAGGCCCCUCUGCUGAGCUGUGGGCUGCAACCAGCCAGGCCAGGCUCCCCCCAGAUGGGCCCAUCCUCCAGUCUUCUCUUCUCCCAAGAAAAGAAAGCGCCUGAGUGCCCAGCAUGACAGCCAGCAUGACCUGCCCCCAAGGCCCCAGCCCCACUAAAUAACACCCCCUCUAUCCCAGCCCCACUGCCACCCCCCUUUCCAAACUGGCGGCAGGGAGAGCUGCUCACAGGAAACCUCCAAUCUCUCCCCAUGCUGGGGGAAUCAUUCCCAUGGGGACCGCAUGCUGCUGCAGCCCUUCCUUGAAGCUCCCCUAUGGACAUACAGCCAUCACAUGCCCCCCCACCCCAAAGCACACGCAUGACCCCAGCAAAGCGCAGGGCUGGGAGGUGCACGACUCCAACACAUUGAACAUUUGUGUCCAGAAAGACGAGCAGAAAAAGACCCAAGAAGCCAGAGGCAGACGAGCAGAGCCAGAGUGGGCCUGGGGAAGAGCUGCUGGGCUAGAGGCCGUCCAGGGCAGGGGCAGGGGAUUGUCCCCAGGCCGAUUCUCCCUGCCUACGCAGAACAGGGCUGUCUACACCAGGGCUGUGCACGGGCCAGACUUUGGGCCAUAUACAGCCCAUAAAGGGCUCAUUUGUGGCCCACCAGACUGAGUGCCACUCCCCUCAACUACUGCCGGGAUCUCUGAGCUCCCCCAUCCAGCUUCCGCGCCCUGUCCCUGGGGCCUCAGGAGCCUGGGGGUGCCUCCACAGCACAGCGUGCGGAGCUGGAGGGAGCUGCCAGGAUGCAUGGCAAGGCUCAGGAUUCUCGGCUGAGGGGGCAGCAGGAACAGGCGACGGUCACAUGUGUCCGUUCACGGACCCUCCAGGGAAACUGAGACAGGGGCCAUGGUCACAAUUAGCAGUGGAAUGAGAACUAAGCCUACAGGCUGCUGCCCACCCCCCCUCACCCUCAUCCACAGUUUCUGGCACCAAGGGAGGUGCCCUAACUUGGCAGAGAUGGAAGCCCGCCCCCACCUCCACAGCCUCAUUUGUAGCUCCUGGGAAAGGCAAUAAUUAACUACUCAUGGCAGCCACCUGCCCCAGGCCAGGGGCUCAGAGACCAGGAGAAGGCUGGCCACACAGAGCGCGGACGCGCCCAAGAGACCAGAGCCAUGCCAGUGGGGACACAGAGAAGCGACAGGGAAGGGACAUGCCCAAGGCCAUGUGGAGAGUCUACGGCAGGGCUGGGGGCAGAGCCCAGGCACCCUGGCUCCUCCAGUCCCUGGCAUGAGUCCUCCUGCAGCUUUGGGUGUGAACAGUCCUGUAGACAGUGCUCCGGGCUGCCCCGGUCAAAGGGAAGCACAUUAAAAGUCUCAAACCCUCCUCCAUUUUCAUUCCAUCGAGCACACACCAACUGCUGCAGCUUCCUUAGCCUGACGAAGGGUUUUUGAACCCGAAAGCUUGCUUAAUAACUAUUCUCCAACCAUUUGGGUUGGUCUAAUAAAAGAUAUCAAAUUCACCCAAGGAACCUUGUCUGCCUAUAUCCUUAGACCAACAUGGCUACAACCUAAACCCCCUUAAACCCUCCUCCUACACCCAGCCCAGCCUGGCUACCAGCAGCCACUACAGAUGGGACCAAGAUGCCAGGGGAGAUGCCAUGUGUCUGCUCCGAAGAGCAAACCCAUGCCACAAGCUGCUAGACCAGGCAGGUCUUGCCCUGCCAUGCUCCUGCCUGACCUCAAGGCACCAGGGCAGCCCACUGGAGCAAGACAGUGCAACGUGGGGCAGGAGGCCUGGGUAGGGAGGCCUUGCCCCUGCAACCUCGUUAGCCAGCAUCCAGCAUUGCCCCCCACCCCCCCACAACCCCCCACCACAGUGAUGCUGCCAGGAUGGGGGGCAUCCCCCUGCCUCCUCAGAGGACCAUCCUGGGCAAGGGGCUAAUGCUGUGACGCACGCCUGGGCCUGCACAUGCACACUUGCAAAGGAAUGUGUGUGGGGCGCAGGCACAUGCAUGUGCCCAGGAGAGGAGCUGGCACGGGCGUCUGGGCCCCUCCGCAGGCAAUUCCCUCCCCAGCCCCGCCGAGGAACACACGCAGUGUUCAGAGGGAAAAGUUAUCAGCCCUGAGCACAAGCCCACAGGGCUUGCCGGCCCCACCACAUCCCUAUCAGCACUAGGCAGGAGGCUGUUUACAAGGCCCGUGCACCACCAAGCCGGGGGGCUUAUCAGCUCUUGGGGCCCCGGUAACGCCAAAGGCCACGGCUGUUCUGUGGCCACUGGAUGGUGUUAAGCCCAGCCUGGUACUGCCACUGCUGCUGGGCGCACUGGCACCUGGCAUGGAGCAGGGAGCCUGCGGGUCUGUCUAGAGCUUCGAACCAGCUCCUGGGCAGCCAGAGAGGGGACCCCAGACUCCAGGCACCCCAGUACCUCCCUGGGAGAGUCACUCUACAUGCACCCAAGCUCUUACCCCCUUCCUCUCAAGCCUCUAAACCAGGAUAGGGCUGGCCGCGCCAUGAGCACUGUAGUGAGACACGGGCAGGCCAGGACAGGAGAACGUGCAGCUACAGGGAGCCGCUGAGUAAACCAGGCACCAACAACAGAGGAGCUGACUGUGCCCAUCACCCUGGCAUCACAGCCCCAGUGUGAUCCCCAUGAGAUGUGCCAUGUGAACACCAAGGCAGCACAUGCAAGAGGUGGCACACGCGUGUACAACAGGGAGGGAGAUCACCUGUGGGGAAGCUGGGCUCAGUUGCAACACGCAGCCCUGCUCGGCCCCGCGGGCUCCUCCACACCCCAGCAACGUGCAGUGAACUCCCCCUGCACCGUAGCUCCAACCUGCCCAGUGCCGGCUGCCUCGGCUCCAGGCCCAACGAAAGCUCCUGCCUGCCCCGACCUGCCCCGCGUGGCUAAUCCCUGCUGGGAGCAGGGCCGUGUCCCACAGCAGGAACAGGCCUGCCCCGCCGGCCCCCCCGGCCUGUGGGGAGCGGGAAGCAGAGAUGAGAUCUGAAGAAGCCCCAGCCCACAGGCACAGGCCACAGGGGCAAUAGGGCAUUUCCCCUCCCCUGAGCACCCCCUGGACCCAUACAACCAACACGAUGCACUCCCUGGCGUCAGGGUAGGGGGCUCAGCAGGGAGGCACGAGGGAAGCGUGGCACAGGCUGGCCGGGAACAUCCAGCCCCUGGACCCCCUGCUCAGGGUCAGACCCAUGUUGUUUUUGGGGUCAGGAAGAAAUUUUCCCCCCUGCUCAUAUUAGUAUGGACUAAGGGGGGGUCUGCCUUCCUCUC